rnacentral:rRNA from 1 species
UACGUAGGGUGCGAGCGUUAAUCGGAAUUACUGGGCGUAAAGCGUGCGCAGGCGGCGCGUUAAGACAGGUGUGAAAGCCCCGGGCUUAACCUGGGAAUGGCAUUGGUGACUGCACAGCUAGAGUGUGUCAGAGGGGGGUAGAAUUCCACGUGUAGCAGUGAAAUGCGUAGAGAUGUGGAGGAAUACCGAUGGCGAAGGCAGCCCCCUGGGAUAACACUGACGCUCAUGCACGAAAGCGUGGGGAGCAAACAGG